UGGAGAGUUUGAUCCUGGCUCAGAUUGGACGCUGGCGGCAGGCCUUUAACGUAAACGCAAGUCGAACGGUAGCACAGAGGAGCUUGCUCCUUGGGUGACGAGUGGCGGACGGGUGAGUAAUGUCUGGGAAACUGCCCGAUGGAGGGGGAUAACUACUGGAAACGGUAGCUAAUACCGCAUAACGUCGCAAGACCAAAGAGGGGGACCUUCGGGCCUCUUGCCAUCGGAUGUGCCCAGAUGGGAUUAGCUAGUAGGUGGGGUAACGGCUCACCUAGGCGACGAUCCCUAGCUGGUCUGAGAGGAUGACCAGCCACACUGGAACUGAGACACGGUCCAGACUCCUACGGGAGGCAGCAGUGGGGAAUAUUGCACAAUGGGCGCAAGCCUGAUGCAGCCAUGCCGCGUGUAUGAAGAAGGCCUUCGGGUUGUAAAGUACUUUCAGCGAGGAGGAAGGUGUUGUGGUUAAUAACCACAGCAAUUGACGUUACUCGCAGAAGAAGCACCGGCUAACUCCGUGCCAGCAGCCGCGGUA
rnacentral:rRNA from 1 species